CAACAUCCAGAGGCUCGUUGGCCCCCAAGCUGGGCUGGGCGAGUGUCUCUUUGAAAGGCUCACCCUCAAGCAUGACUAGGAGC
rnacentral:pre_miRNA from 1 species